ACAACGUAGAGAAGAGCUGCGAGAUCACCCCCUACACUCCAGGUUUGAUUCAGGAAAACAUGGAGAAACAUAAGCUUUGCAGAAACGGGAAUAAAGCUAAUCUUACAGAGCUGUCCAGCAGAAUGUCAGAAACAAGAUCAAUCCAUCAUAUCAGUGCUACACAGUGGUUACGCUGACUGUAAUAUACACCACAAGACCCUGGCAGCUUGGUUCGACUCCAUGGUGCAGAGGAAUGGCCAGCCUUGUCUCAAGAAGAACACUGACCUUUCCCGCUGUUCCUGGCCUCUCCAAUAAGGAGAAGCAUCGUCUCAACAUCUACCCUGUCAAAUUUGCUCAAAUUCGUUCAGCUUGACAAACGGCCCGAAGAGUUCAGUACAGACACCAGUCAAAUCUGCAUUGUAAACUCCGUCAAGAAGGCAGACCCACAAGAAAACCCCUCCUUCACCCUGAGGGAGAAGCCAUAGAUCCCUCAGGAGAAGUAACAGCAAGGCUGCCUCCUGCACCACACCAUCACCCCAUCAGGCCAAAUACUCACACCUCAGUGGGUGUGUUAACUAGAUCAGAGUUUGGAACACCAGUAAGUGAGCAUAUCGCUUCCCCCUCUCUGUUGCAAGCAAAGGAAGCAACAUCUCAGAUUGCUGGCACUCUGAGGACUGCCAGAAUCCAGGAACCUGAUCAGCUCCAGACAGGAGAGGAUCCUGUGGUGUCAGCCAUUAACAAUUUUGUACAAAUAUCCAAGCAGACAUGGGAGCAGCAUGCAGUUUUGUUGGAAGCACUAGGCAAAUGGAUUGAAGGUUGGAGGGCUUUGCCAAUGCUGUUUGUACCCUGCUGACUCUGGUAUGUGAUUAUCUGUCUACCGCAUUGGGCAGUGUGCAUGGCUCAAUGGAGAGUCAGGCCCUGCACUCUCAGAACCUGUUGGAUAUCCGCACAGACCUGCAGUCCAUUACUUUAGCCAUUAGUGCUCAGAAUGUUGGUCCUGAGCUUGCAGACACACGUGUUCCUCAUUCAUUCAUGGGGCAGUCCGUAAUGGAACGGUCAUAGAGAUGACAGCAGCUUCUGUGCCUGAAUCAUGGGGAUGGCUCUGAUGAGCCAAUGCGGAAAAUGGCAGAAACAAAGCAGCUCCUCAGUCAUGUGAUCAUUGAACAGCUGUUGUAUACACACAAAUGACAUUUGAGCAGCAUCUUUAAUAUAGAGGCCCCAAUAAAGAAGCCAGUGGGGUGCCUCGCAUUGAAGUUGCACAUAGCUACCUUGAUCGAGAUGUCUGUUGCCUUUUGAGAUACAUACAGUAGGAUAUUUUAUGUGGUGUGACAAUAAUGAGGACGUCUCUCCCCAGAAUCCAAGAAAGCUGGCAUUGCAUAUAAGAUAAUGAUGUGAAUGUUUUAUGGCCAAGGUGUAAACCAACUCCUACUCUGUGUGCAGGCUGUGGGGCCUUGGAAGGUGAUAUCUAUUUUGUCAACAAGGGUGAACCUUUCCAGCGUGCAAAUCAUUACUUGUGUCACACAGCCAUUAGUGAAAUGGAUUUAUAAGUUGCAUGAUGCGGUCAAGAAUAUUUGGGUCCAGGAUUUGUACUCCAUACAGGAGGCUAAUGUGUAAGGCUCACAUACAACACAUGGUGAUCAAUUGUUUCUUUAACCUGUUCUGUGUCGGUGUUUACUUAAUGCUACUGGUCUUUCAAGGGCCACUUAUUGUAUGUAAGUGAAACCCCCUUCCUCACAAUGUGAAAUACCUGACAAAGAGUUUUGCCCCAAAAUGUUGACUUACCUGUUCCUUGGAUGCUGUCUGACCCGCUGUGCUUUUCCAGUCUCACACCUACAGAUUUCCAGCAUCCACAGUCCUUAUUGUCUCUGAAAUAUCUACUUUGUCCACUCCAGAUGUGGUGGUAGCUAUUUUCAUCUCCCAUUGUGCACUUGCCAUUUCAUGAGGAUGAAAGCAUCGGCGGCCUCACUUCAUUGAGUAUCACAGAUUUAGAUUCUCAGACUAGGUGAUCCCACUACUCUUCACAGUCAUUCCUUGGUUGAGCACCCUGUGAAUGCAGAGUGGUGAUGACUGUCAAUGAUUCCCUUUCCUGCAUUACCCCUUUCCCUGCCACGCUCUAUUGUCUAUUCCACUUUACGUUGAAUUUCUGCCCUUCACAAUUAUUGUCCCAGCUGCAUCCUAGCAUGCUUCCUCCAACCCCUACAACUGAGUUCCCAACCACAGUGACGGCCCCUGAUAACACCCUACUUAACUUCCGUUUAUCUGACCCCUCCCCCCAGGACUAAAUGUCCACUGCAUCACAACCCUGCCCCUCCACAGUCCCUUGGAAAGGCAAAAAGAAGUCCUGGGAGCAUUUCAGUUCAGGCUGAAGGGACAAAAACACAAAAGAAUACAGCAAUGCAAUGCAGAUAUAAUAUGAGUAUCUGCAUAGGCAGAAUAUGGGUGAAUACUAAGAGGGUGAGCAAAGAGCCCUGAGAUGCACCCUGAUCAAACCUAUGAGUUAGACCCUGACCCUGCAUAUAGUGUUCUGGCAGCAGAAUUCCAAUGAAAGGAGCCAGUGUGCUCCAAAGUGCAGAAUUGCAGUGCAGAGCUGUAUUGCAAGUAGACAGAGGCAUGUGGUUGGUUUAGUGCCCCUGGACUGUGCCCUGAAAUGUUGGUGUCUUUUCUCUAAGGUGGAGCAAGUGACAUGCUGGAGCCACCAGAUCCCAUUCUGACUUUCAUGCCAGGAAUUGUCGUUGUCUGGUUUUUAUCUGGCUGAUGGGAAAAUAGGAAACUACACAUCAGCAAAGUGAGAUUAGACACUAAUGACAUGCAAAUAGGCCACUUUCCAUUCAAAAUUUGAUUGGACAAUCAAACUUCUUUCUCGCACCAUAAAAGAUCUAAUUUCUGCUGAACUUGCUCUAUUUUCCCAAUUGACUCAACAAGGGCUGGAAAGAUUCUGGCCAUUGAUUCUUAAGAAAAAACAACCAAACUUUCAAUUUCUGAGGAAGGGUCACUUAGCUGAAGCAUUAACUCUGAUUUCUCCCCAUAGAUGAUGCAGAUCUGCUGAAUAUUUCCGGCAAUUUCUAUUUUUGUUUCUGAUUUACAGCCUCUGCAGUUCCUUCGGUUUUGUAAACUUUAAAUUUUACUUUUUUCUCAAUUUGAUUCCCCGCAGUUUGUGGUUCUGUCAGCAGUGACCAAAAUUGCUGUUGAUCAAGGUUGAUGUGAACACAUCGGUGAGAUUAAAUCACACUUAAGUGUCCAUGAUAUGCACCUGCAGCUCUGACAGGACAGAGAUGUUGUUCCCAGAAAGCAACACUCCUUCUUGGAAGAAAACAGGAAAUAAAUUUUCUUCUUUCAGGGCUUCUUUCAGAUAAACAGGAAUCCCUGCUACAAUUUUAGAAUUCAUUGCAAUUGCUACAGAAAUGCAAUGAGCAAUUUGUCUCCAACACAUUUAAUGAAAGCUUCAGGAACAGGUCCACAGCUUUUAACUACACAAUUUAUAGCCUUCCAGAUUCAACACCAAAACAUUUUUUCCGCCCACCCUUAUCUGAUUUCCGGAGGGACCACUCUCUCUGUGAAUCUCUUGUCCGCUCCACACUCCCCUCCAGCCCCACCACCCCCGGAACUUUUCCCUGCAACCGAAGCAAGUGCUACACCGGUCCCUACACCUUCCCCCUCAUCGCCAUCCCAUGUCCUAAGACGACCUUCCACAUCAAACAGAUGUUCACCUGCACAUCUGCUAAUGUGGUAUACUGCAUCCGCUGUUCCCGUUGUGGCCUCCUCUACAUCAGGGAAUCCAACCGGAGGCUUGGGGACCUCUUUGCAGAACACCUCCGCUCGGUUCACAAUAAACAACUGCACCUCCCAGUUGUGAACCAUUUCAACUCCCCCUCCCACUCCUUGGACGACAUGUCCAUCCUGGGUCUCCUGCAUUGCCACAGUGACGCCACUCGAAAGCUGCAGGAACAGCAUCUCAUAUUUCGCUUGGGAACCCUGCAGCCCAAUGGUAUCAAUGUGGACUUCACAAGCUUCAAAAUCUCCUCUCCCCUGAUCACGUCCCAAAACCAGCCCAGCUCAUCCCCGCCUCCCUAACCAUUCCUCCCACCUCAAGUCCCACCAUCAUCUCCUACCCACCAACCUCAUCCCGCCCCCUUGACCUGUCCAUCCUCCCUGGAUUGACCUAUCCCCUCCCUAACUCCCCACAUAUACUCAUCUUUAUUGGCUCUAUCCCCGCCUCUUUGACCUGUCCAUCUCCUCUCUACCUACCUUCUCCUUUAUCCAUCUUCUAUCAGCCUCCCCCUCUCUCCUUAUUUAUUUCAGAAUCCCCUUCCCCUCCCACAUUUCUGAAGAAGGGCCUCGGGCCAAAAUGUCAGCUUUUCUGCUCCUAAGAUGCAGCUAGGCCUGCUGUGUUCAUCCAGGUCUCCAGAUUCUCCAGCUUCGGCAGCUCCUACCAUCCCUUCAACACUAAGUUUGCCCAUUUCCUUUGGUUGGAAGCUGAUAGUGAUACUAGUUUUUCUCUCACUUCACCUCCGUUAGAACUUUCUUUUGUUUCUUGUCACAUUAUUGUCACCAACCACCGUCCCCCACUCUUUUGCUAUUCUAUUUUAUCAUUUAAUCCUGCCUGCUGAACAUUUUUUAUUUCAAAAUGUACUUUAUUCAUACACGUCUUUAUAUGUACAUAGUCUCUAGAGCAAUUUGAUUCUGUACAGUCAUUACAUUUGUAGAACAAACAAACCCAAAGCAUUCUCUUUUGUUCUUAUGUAUAUUUACAUACACAUGAGACAUCGGGAGGGUCUGAUAACUGAAUAGGCCCCCAUUGUACUUUGGCAGAAAGAUCUCAGAUAGUGGUCUUUCCCCACUGUGCCCUGGCAGCAGCUGCCCCAAGCUUCAGUGUAUCUCUCAGCAUGUAGUCCUGGGCCUUGGGAUGUGCCAGCCAGAAGCAUUCGGUUGAGGGCAACUCCUUCCUCUGAAAGACCAACAACUUUUGGGCAGACCAAAGAGCAUCUUUCAUUGAGUAAUCUUGCCUGUUGAAUAGCCCAUCACAGGUCUUUGCUGUUAUUUUCACCCCUCUCUCCCUGCCUCUGUACUUGCUUUACAGAGACAUUGCUAACUACUUUUCAGUUCUGAGAGGAAAUCAUCAAUUCAAUUCAUUAACACUGCUUCGUUUUCCACAGAUUCUGGCAGACCUGCAGAAUAUUUCCAGCUUUUUCUCUUCUUAUUUCAGUCAAAUUGUAAGUUGUUUGAUUGGGCUUUUUUUAGUUUCUACCCAAUUUUUGUUUUAUUACAGGUAGGGGUUAAGAAUCUUCCUAUUUGUGAUUAUUCAGGCAUGGAAUGCUUAGCACUAAAACAUUAAUCACCCUUCAUUGGUCUAGAUCCCCAAGUUCUCAGCAUUCCCAAGUCAGGAAGAGCAGAUCCAGCUUCACACAAUAUUCUACUCUGUUCCUAAAAUGUACCUCAGCUUAAACCCAAAAGAGUACCCCACAAAGCACCAUUGGAACAUUGCCAUUUCCUGUGCAAACCUGUCUUGUUUUUGCAUGUGAUAAGCCAGUUGGCACAAAGUUUACACUUGGUUUGAUACUGCAAGCCCAUGAACUGCAUUGAAUUAAGCCAAAUUGUUUCACAUAGGACUCUUACAAAAUGAGAAAAUAGUAUUAUGCCACCAAAUUGUAAUGCACCAAAUUCAUAUUGUUAAAAUAUUUGUCCUCGCAAAAGUGCAAAUUCUGAUUUAAAAUAUCUCACCAUUCAGUCUAUUGGUAACAUAAGAUUUUUAAUCAUAAGCAUAACAAUCUCUCUCACCACCAGUGACUGGAAACUUUAUGCUCAUAACUUUGAGUGGCCUUGUAUGGACAAAUCCUAGAGUUCAAACUUUUCCUGUAUCAUUAACAAUGUUGUACAUUGCUCCCAAAACCCCUGCCCUCACCAGCUCUCUUCAUCACCUGUAUUAAUGGGGCCAAUUUAGCACGCAACAUUGCAUUAUACUAUAUAAUACUAAUGGAGCUUUACCCAAAUUUUCUUAUCAAUACCAGAUGCGUUGGCAGGAAUCUAAAAGCAAGUAAUGAUUGGGUGAUUUGAGUGUCAGAACCUCUGACACUCCAGUUUCUAUCUGUCAGCCAGGGCUCCCUGAGUGGGCCAGGUUAACAGUCCCAAUCGGGGAACUUAUGUUCUAUGAUAUCCACCUGGCUGACCUUGUUACAAUCACCACAGAAAUGAGGUGAGAAUGGCAAAACACAAGGUGUCGAGUUAGAGUGAGCUGAGGUUGUAUUUUGGCACGUGGAGAACAAAAAAUUGCCUGAAAUGAGAAUAGUUUGAACAAAACAUUGAUUUUUCCAAAAUUCUGUGACUUUUAAAAGAAUUAUGAAU